GACGCGGGAUUUGCCUGACUCAGGAAACCUAGUUACGACUUCACCCCAAUCACUGACCAUACCUUAGGAACAUGCCUCCCUUGCGGGUUAGCGCUGCUACUUCUAGUACAGCCAGCUUUCGUGAUGUGACGGGCGGUGUGUACAAGGCCCGGGAACGUAUUCACCGCGGCGUGCUGAUCCGCGAUUACUAGCGAUUCCAACUUCAUGCCGGNGAGUUGCAGCCGACAAUCCGAACUGAGACAGGCUUUAUCCGAUUAGCUCCACCUUGCGGUCUCGCGACGGUUUGUACCUGCCAUUGUAGCACGUGUGUGGCCCCAGACAUAUAGGCCAUGCUGACUUGACGUCAUCCCCACCUUCCUCCGGUUUGUCACCGGCAGUCUCUUCAGAGUG
rnacentral:rRNA from 1 species